AGCUGGUUUCUCAAGAAAAGAAUCUUAGUUCCGCCUAAAGCAACAUAAAUUUUUCCAAAAUUCCCCCAAGCCUUUAGAGUAAGUCAAAUAAGGUACAGCCUAUUUGACACAGGACUCAACCUUUAAUAACGGGUAAAACAACUUUAAACAUAAGUGGGCCUAAGAGCAGCCACCUUUUAAAAAGCGUCAAAGCUUACACAAUUCCUAAUUCCUAAAACAUUAUUGACCCCUUCAUUUCUAUUGAGAACUCCUAUAAUUUUAUAGGACCUUUUAUGCUAAAACUAGUAACAAGAGGUUAUCCCUCUCUAAAAUGUAAACUCAAACCAGCUUGAACCCAUCACUGGCACCCAACAGAUUUUAACUAAAGUAAUAACCACUCUAGAAAACAUUACUUCACCAUUACUGUUAACCUAACACAAGAACAUUUUAAGAAAGAUUAAAAGAAAAAGAAGGAACUCGGCAAAUAUUAAGCCCGCCUGUUUACCAAAAACAUCGCCUCUUGCCCCCACAUAAGAGGCCUAGCCUGCCCAGUGAUUUUAUUCAACGGCCGCGGUAUCCUAACCGUGCGAAGGUAGCGUAAUCACUUGUCUCCUAAAUAGAGACUAGUAUGAAAGGCAUCACGAGACUUAUACUGUCUCCUUUCUCUAAUCAGUGAACCUAAUCUCCCCGUGAAGAAGCGGGG
rnacentral:rRNA from 1 species